rnacentral:rRNA from 1 species
AGCAGCCGCGGUAAUUCCAGCCCCAAUAGCGUAUAUUAAAGUUGUUGCAGUUAAAAAGACUCGUAGUUGAACUUCGGGGUCUACCCAUUGGUCAGGCUUAAUUGUCUGCACUGGUGAGAUGGAUCUCUACCUUCUGAGGAACUUUCAUGCCAUUUAUUUGGUGUGAUGGGAAAUCAAGGACUGUUACUUUGAAAAAAUUAGAGUGUUUAAAGCAGACUAUCGUCUGAAUACAUUAGCAUGGAAUAAUGAAAUAGGACGGACUGAUUCUAUUUCGUGGUUCUAGGAUCACCGUAAUGAUUAAUAGGGAUAGUUGGGGGCAUUAGUAUUCAAUUGUCAGAGGUGAAAUUCUUGGAUUUAAUUGAAGACUAAACUACUGUCGAAAGCAUUUGCCAAGGAUGUUUUCAUUAAUCAAGAACGAAAGUUAGGGGAUCGAAGACGAUCAGAUACCGUCGUAGUCUUAACCAUAAACUAUGCCGACUAGGGAUCGGACGAAGUUAAUUUUAUAAAUGACGCG